GUUUAAUUGUGGAAGCUGUCAGAAUGGACGUAUUUUAUGUAGCAUUCACACCUCAGAAGCCUGUUUUAGCAAAGAUGAAGCCAGUACUGUUUUGUGGCUCAACCCGUGCAGAGUUUUUUCCUGAAAUUACGUGAUUGGGGCCUUAAAAACAUCAGAAGUGCCAUUUGUUUCAAUUGCAGCAGCUCCGUUAAUGAAAACACAUAGAAGAUUUUAGCUUAGCACCACUUUUACUAUAAACCUGAAGAUAGAAUUUUAGAAGUUGUCUUAAUAAUGAUGUAAUUAGGGCCGCUUAGUUAUUGGGUCAAAAACAGCAAGUAUAACAUGGGCUGUCAUUGCC
rnacentral:lncRNA from 1 species